rnacentral:rRNA from 1 species
UACGUAGGGUGCAAGCGUUGUCCGGAAUUACUGGGCGUAAAGGGCGCGUAGGCGGCACGGCAAGUCAGGAGUGAAAGCCCGGGGCUCAACCCCGGAAUGUCUUUUGAAACUGCCGAGCUAGAGUGCGGAAGAGGCAACUGGAAUUCCCAGUGUAGCGGUGAAAUGCGUAGAUAUUGGGAAGAACACCUGAGGCGAAGGCGGGUUGCUGGGCCGACACUGACGCUGAUGCGCGAAAGCCAGGGGAGCGAACGGG